UUACAAUGACUCAAGUAACAAAGGUAACAUAUGGAGAUGCUAAAUUCACAAUUGAAUCACUUUGUAAAGCCAUUUUCUGAUGAAUGAUCAAAUAGUGAGCUUAGUCAGGUUUUUUUUUAAAGAAAGUUCACAAUUGAAUCACUUUGUAAAGCCGUUUUCUGAUGACUGAUCAAAUAGUGAGCUUAGUCAGGUUUUUUUUAAAGAAAGUGAUGCUUGCUGAUGAAACUCCGCCUUCGGGGAGAAUGAUUGGUGUCAAGCUUGAUUAAAUGACGAGGGUUGUGGUAGAUUGAAACUAAAGAAAUGGUCCAACUACGAGAACCUCUAGUCUCAGAGAACCCUUAUAUCUCUCAAUAGGCAAAUUGUUUUAUAUUGGAAUAAAUUAGGUUGAAAAGAACUAA
rnacentral:lncRNA from 1 species